AGCGAACUUAACUAAAUGAAUGCGGUGCUUGCACCAAGUGAUUUUAGACCGGUGAGCGGCGGAUGGGUGAGUAACACGUGGGUAACCUGCCUCUAAGCAGGGGAUAACAUUUGGAAACAGAUGCUAAUACCGUAUAAAUCCUAAAACCACAUGGUUUUAGGCUGAAAGGCGGCUUCGGCUGUCACUUAGAGAUGGACCCGCGGCGUAUUAGCUAGUUGGUGAGGUAAUGGCUCACCAAGGCAAUGAUACGUAGCCGAACUGAGAGGUUGAUCGGCCACAUUGGGACUGAGACACGGCCCAAACUCCUACGGGAGGCAGCAGUAGGGAAUCUUCCACAAUGGACGCAAGUCUGAUGGAGCAACGCCGCGUGAGUGAAGAAGGCUUUCGGGUCGUAAAACUCUGUUGUUGAAGAAGAACACGUUUGAGAGUAACUGUUCAGACGUUGACGGUAUUCAACCAGAAAGCCACGGCUAACUACGUGCCAGCAGCCGCGGUAAUACGUAGGUGGCAAGCGUUAUCCGGAUUUAUUGGGCGUAAAGCGAGCGCAGGCGGUUUUUUAAGUCUGAUGUGAAAGCCCUCGGCUUAACCGAGGAAGUGCAUCGGAAACUGGGAAACUUGAAUGCUGAAGAGGACAGUGGAACUCCAUGUGUAGCGGUGAAAUGCGUAGAUAUAUGGAAGAACACCAGUGGCGAAGGCGGCUGUCUGGUCAGUUAUUGACGCUGAGGCUCGAAAGCAUGGGUAGCGAACAGGAUUAGAUACCCUGGUAGUCCAUGCCGUAAACGAUGAAUACUAGGUGUUGGAGGGUUUCCGCCCUUCAGUGCCGCAGCUAACGCAUUAAGUAUUCCGCCU
rnacentral:rRNA from 1 species